CGUCUUCUAAUACCUCAUACUGAUCCUCACAAGCAUCUGCGAUGUUCUAAAGCUCCUGCCGUGCAGGAAGAGCCCGCGGCCUAUCAGCUUGUUGGUGAGGUAACGGCUCACCAAGGCGCACAACGGGUAGCCGGCCUGAGAGGGCGACCGGCCACACUGUGACUGAGACACGGCCCAGACUCCUACGGGAGGCACCACUGGGGAAUAUUGCACAAUGGGCAAAAGCCUGAUGCAGCGACGCCCCGUGAGGGAUAACGGCCUUCGGGUUGUAGACCUCUUUCAUCGGGGAAGAAGCGAAAGUGACAGUACCUGCAAAAUAACCGCCGGCUAACUACGUGCCACCAGCCGCGGUAAUACGUAAGGCGCAGCGUUGUCCGGAAUUAUUGGGCGUAAAGAGCUCGUAGGCGGCUUGUCACGUCAGUUGUGAAAGCCCGGGGCUUAACCCCGGGUCUGCAGUCGAUACGGGCAGGCUAGAGUUCGGUA
rnacentral:rRNA from 1 species